UACGUAGGGCGCAAGCGUUAUCCGGAAUUAUUGGGCGUAAAGAGCUCGUAGGCGGUCUGUCGCGUCGGCUGUGAAAACCCGAGGCUCAACCUCGGGCCUGCAGUCGAUACGGGCAAACUAGAGUACUGCAGGGGAGACUGGAAUUCCUGGUGUAGCGGUGAAAUGCGCAGAUAUCAGGAGGAACACCGGUGGCGAAGGCGGGUCUCUGGGCAGUAACUGACGCUGAGGAGCGAAAGCGUGGGGAGCAAACAGG
rnacentral:rRNA from 1 species